AGUGAACGCUGGCGGCAGGCCUAACACAUGCAAGUCGAGCGGCAGCGCGUCCGACCACCCUCGGGUGGUCGGAUGGCGGCGAGCGGCGGACGGGUGAGGAAUGCAUCGGAAUCUGCCUCGUUGUGGGGGAUAACGUAGGGAAACUUACGCUAAUACCGCAUACGACCUACGGGUGAAAGUGGGGGACCUUCGGGCCUCACGCGAUGAGAUGAGCCGAUGCCGGAUUAGCUAGUUGGCGGGGUAAAGGCCCACCAAGGCGACGAUCCGUAGCUGGUCUGAGAGGAUGAUCAGCCACACUGGAACUGAGACACGGUCCAGACUCCUACGGGAGGCAGCAGUGGGGAAUAUUGGACAAUGGGGGCAACCCUGAUCCAGCCAUGCCGCGUGUGUGAAGAAGGCCUCGGUUGUAAG
rnacentral:rRNA from 1 species